rnacentral:tRNA from 1 species
CCUCAGCUGGAUAGAGUACUCGGCUACGAACCGAGCGGUCGGAGGUUCGAAUCCUCCCGGAUGCACCA